rnacentral:rRNA from 1 species
GGCUCAGAUUGAACGCUGGCGGCAGGCCUAACACAUGCAAGUCGAGCGAGAAAGGUCUUCGGACUGAGUACAGCGGCGGACGGGUGAGUAAUGCGCAGGAAUCUACCUGGUAGUGGGGGAUAACUCGGGGAAACUCGAACUAAUACCGCAUACGCCCUACGGGGGAAAGCGGGGGACCUUCGGGCCUCGCGCUAUCAGAUGAGCCUGCGUAGGAUUAGCUUGUUGGUGAGGUAAAGGCUCACCAAGGCGACGAUCCUUAGCUGGUCUGAGAGGAUGAUCAGCCACACUGGAACUGAGACACGGUCCAGACUCCUACGGGAGGCAGCAGUGGGGAAUAUUGCGCAAUGGGCGAAAGCCUGACGCAGCCAUGCCGCGUGUGUGAAGAAGGCCCUUGGGUUGUAAAGCACUUUCAAUUGGGAAGAAAGGUUGCGUGUUAAUAGCACGUAGCUGUGACGUUACCUUUAGAAGAAGCACCGGCUAACUCCGUG